GGCUAACUACGUGCCAGCAGCCGCGGUGAUACGUAGGGUCCGAGCGUUGUCCGGAAUUAUUGGGCGUAAAGGGCUUGUAGGCGGUCCGUCGCGUCAGGAGUGAAAACUCGGGGCUUAACCCCGAGCCUGCUUUUGAUACGGGCGGACUAGAGGGAUGCAGGGGAGAACGGAAUUCCUGGUGGAGCGGUGGAAUGCGCAGAUAUCAGGAGGAACACCGGUGGCGAAGGCGGUUCUCUGGGCAUCACCUGACGCUGAGAAGCGAAAGCGUGGGGAGCAAACAGGCUUAGAUACCCUGGUAGUCCACGCCGUAAACGGUGGGCACUAGGUGUGGGGGACAUUCCACGUUCUCCGUGCCGAAGCUAACGCAUUAAGUGCCCCGCCUGGGGAGUACGGCCGCAAGGCUAAAACUCAAAGGAAUUGACGGGGGCCCGCACAAGCGGCGGAGCAUGCGGAUUAAUUCGAUGCAACGCGAAGAACCUUACCUGGGUUUGACAUACACCGGAAAGCUGCAGAGAUGUAGCCCCCGCAAGGUCGGUGUACAGGUGGUGCAUGGCU
rnacentral:rRNA from 1 species